AGGUCCGUUGGUGUGAUUCAACAU
rnacentral:siRNA from 1 species